rnacentral:rRNA from 1 species
GAGUUUGAUCGUGGCUCAGAUUGAACGCUGGCGGCAUGCCUUACACAUGCAAGUCGAACGGCAGCAUGAUCUAGCUUGCUAGAUUGAUGGCGAGUGGCGAACGGGUGAGUAAUACAUCGGAACGUGCCCUGUAGUGGGGAUAACUAGUCGAAAGAUUAGCUAAUACCGCAUACGACCUGAGGGUGAAAGUGGGGGACCGCAAGGCCUCAUGCUAUAGGAGCGGCCGAUGUCUGAUUAGCUAGUUGGUGGGUAAAGGCCCACCAAGGCGACGAUCAGUAGCUGGUCUGAGAGGACGAUCAGCCACACUGGGACUGAGACACGGCCCAGACUCCUACGGGAGGCAGCAGUGGGAAUUUUGGACAAUGGGCGAAAGCCUGAUCCAGCAAUGCCGCGUGUGUGAAGAAGGCCUCGG